rnacentral:rRNA from 1 species
AUUGAACGCUGGCGGCAGGCCUAACACAUGCAAGUCGAGCGGAUCGGCGGCCGGGUGCGUAAUGCCUAGGAAUCUGCCUGGUAGCGGGGGAUAACGACCGGCAACGGGCGCUAAUACCGCUUACUUUCAGAUGCGGAUAAGCCGGAUUAGCAAGUUGGUGGGGUAAAGGCACACCAAGGCGACGAUCCGUAACUGGUCUGAGAGGAUGAUCAGUAACACUGGAACUGAGACAAGGUCCAGACGCCUACGGGAGGCAGCAGUGGGGAAUAUUGGACAAUGGGCGAAAGCCUGAUCCAGCCAUGCCGCGUGUGUGAAGAAGGUCUUAGGAUUGUAAAGCACUUUAAGUUGGGAGGCGUUACCAACAGAAUAAGCACCGGCUAACUUCGUGCCAGCAGCCGCGGUAAUUC